rnacentral:rRNA from 1 species
AUUCCAGCUCCAGCAGCGUAUAUUAAAGUUGUUGCAGUUAAAAAGCUCGUAGUUGGAUUUCUGACUUCAGAUACCUGACCCUCCCUCGCUAGAGGUGUGUGUGCCGGAGUAUUUGUAUCAUCCUUUCAGUGAUCGGCUCUACCCUUAACCGGGUCGGAGCUGCUAGCUGGAUCUUUUACUUUGAAGAAAUUGGAGUGUUUAAAGCAGGCUUACGCCAGAACAUAUUAGCAUGGAAUAAUAAUUUAGGACUUUUGUUCUAUUUUGUUGGUUUCUAGGACGAAAGUAAUGAUUGAUAGGGAUAGUUGGGGGUGCUAGUAUUCGGCGGCCAGAGGUGAAAUUCUUUGAUCCGCUGAAGACUAACUUAUGCGAAAGCAUUUACCAAAGAUGUUUUCAUCG